GAGUGAACGCUGGCGGUAGGCCUACCACAUGCAAGUCGAACGGCAGCACAGUAAGAGCUUGCUCUUACGGGUGGCGAGUGGCGGACGGGUGAGGAAUACAUCGGAAUCUACUUUUUCGUGGGGGAUAACGUAGGGAAACUUACGCUAAUACCGCAUACGACCUACGGGUGAAGGCAGGGGAUCUUCGGACCUUGCGCGAUUGAAUGAGCCGAUGUCGGAUUAGCUAGUUGGCGGGGUAAAGGCCCACCAAGGCGACGAUCCGUAGCUGGUCUGAGAGGAUGAUCAGCCACACUGGAACUGAGACACGGUCCAGACUCCUACGGGAGGCAGCAGUGGGGAAUAUUGGACAAUGGGCGCAAGCCUGAUCCAGCCAUACCGCGUGGGUGAAGAAGGCCUGCGGGUUGUAAAGCCCUUUUGUUGGGAAAGAAAAGCAGCAGGUUAAUACCCCGCUGUUCUGACGGUACCCAAAGAAUAAGCACCGGCUAACUUCGU
rnacentral:rRNA from 1 species